UCAACCAGCUCAAACCAGUUCCCUGGGUUGUUGUGCAUGACGACAUCUGACUGUGGGCGCUCCUCACAUGUGCUGACAGAUAUGGGAAGCUCAAGUAUCAGUCGCCCUACAGCGCGGAACUCUCAGGGCAAUCCAAUUGUUAAGGAAAAAGAUUAUUCAAGGCAAUUGUCUUGGCUGUCUUUGCUGUGUUGGCAGCGGUGUGCAAGCCCUGGACCCAGGCCUGUCCUCUCCACCCUCUUCCUGCCUUUCAUCAGCCUUAGAAACGCUGAAAGCUUUGAUGUGUGCAGACACUGUGGCAGACAGCCUCAGAGCCUGGAGGACAGUAACCAGAAAGAGAGGAAGAUACAGGGUGGAGGGGCUCCAUGUGUGCAGUGGCAUCAUCCGGAUUAGCUCAUGUUGGGAAUUCAAAAGAGACAGACUGAAAAUAAAACACAUUCCUCGACAUCAAAGAAGGAUUUCUGGAAUUUGGCACAUUUGCAGCCUCUGAUUGUCUUUGUGUGUAUGUCAUUCGCUUGGGAGCACAGUUGCAUGGUCUGAGGCCCUCUUUGUUGUUUUUGGAUGAGUCACUGUGUCGUACAUGCUUGCCCUGACUCUGGUAUGCAGUUUGCUGAGGCCUCGCAUUAACACUGCUGCGCGUGUGCGUCAGUGAUCUGUGUUGGAGGUGACCCCUGCCACCUGGAUGACACCCACAGAGGGACUAGUAUGAACACUGCCAACAUUUAAAGCAUCAUGGCAGUUCAUGAUCACACUGUGGUUUGACAGCAAUCCUUUCUGUUACUGCAGCUGCUUGUCUAUUUGCCAGAUAUGGGAUGGAUGUCGAUGAGAUUCAAUUACUUUCCUGAGAAGUACGAUAAGCCAAGGUAAACUAGUAAAACAGGGUGCACAAAAGUAUAACUAUAAGAAAUAAAAGAAGACUAAAGCAUGUCUACAUAAAACAUAAAAUAUGAGUCUAUGUCAUGUUAGCAGCUCUGUACUGAGGCACAGCAGUGGUCUGAGCUAAAUGCUGACCAGCUAACAGGCUCACAUUGACAGUUGACAUGUUCACAUAUUUUAUAGGAGAUGCAGAUGAUCCAGCCAAUAUUUGUUUCAUUUUACUAAACCACAAAUGUGAACAGGCUAGUGUUUUAAGAGGAAAGGACAGGGGAAACCAUAUUUAUUCAUCAUUUAUAUUAUAUAUAUUAAUCAUCUGCACCAGUCCUUUAUCCAAAUGUCUGUACAUAGAUAGUUGAUUUUAAACUGUACUUUUGUCCUGUAUGUACAAUUAAGAGCAAAGUGAACCAGAGUCAGAUUUCUUGUGAUUUCUUCUCUGACCAAUAAAGUGAUUCUG